rnacentral:lncRNA from 1 species
UCUCUCCAUAUCUAGAAAAUAAAAUUUUGGUCAUCUUACCUAUAAGACAAGAUUUAUAAGUUUCCAAUGAUUCAUAAUCAUAUGGAUCAAAGAAUUCUUCUUUGUAUAACUUGUUAAUCCUUGACUCACUAAUAUAACCAAGGCGACAAUGCCAGAGAUAUGUGACAUUCAUAUCUUCUCUCUUUCUUUUCAUAUUUCUUUCAAUA